rnacentral:rRNA from 1 species
UACGGAGGGUGCGAGCGUUGUCCGGAAUCACUGGGCGUAAAGGGCGCGUAGGCGGCGCGGGUAGUCAUCGGUGAAAGUUCAGGGCUCAACUCUGAAUCGGCCGGUGAUACUCCCGUGCUCGAGCACUGUAGAGGCAGGUGGAAUUCCGGGUGUAGCGGUGGAAUGCGUAGAGAUCCGGAAGAACACCGGUGGCGAAGGCGGCGCUCUGGACCGAGACUGACGCUGAGGCGCGAAAGCGUGGGGAGCAAACAGG